GUGAGGGGGAACCCUAAGGGCGGGAGGUCUGGGGCCCCCGUCGCCCCCAGCGCCAUGUGUGUGCCCAGGCCGGACCUCGGCGGGGUGGCCGGUGGGGGACCUCGGGCUCCCGGGGCGCAGGUGCGGCGGAGCCCGUCAGGAGUGGGCGCUGGGGCGGCCCGGGCGUGCGGGGACCGUGUGCCCGGCUCUCCUGCAGCCCGACGCCAGAAAAGCCCACGUCGGCGGCGGGAGGCCGGUUAAAACGCGGACGGGGCCCGAGUCUGCGGGGCAGCCGAGCUCCGAAGCCCGAAAGGCCCGAGGCUGCGCUGCUGUCAGACGUGUCCAUCACCACAUGUGACAUUAAUGACAUCAUCCUGACCUCGCAGGAUCCCAGAAUAAUGAUGCUUGAAGGAUUUUCCAAAGUCAUCUACUUGCAACUCUCUUGAAAACUUUGAAGACAUUGGGCCUGAAAGUUUCAGUGACUUGUCCAGGGAAACCUGAUUUGUGACAGAGUCAGAAGGAAAACUGCAGUUCCCUCUCUCAUAAAUAAGUCACCAAAAGUAUCUUAUCAAAGGGGCCUUCUGAGGAAUACAUCCCUGCUGAAACGAACAAUUAAAAAAGUUCCUGCCUUCAGGCAUCCCAUCUCUUUUCUGUGAAUUGUCUGUACCAAGAGCUGAGCCACAGUUCUCUACACUCGCCCAGGAGCCACAGAAAGUGAACGUCCCUCAGGUAUCAGUGUCAUUCAAGGAUGUGACUGCGGAAUUCCCCAGGAGGAGUGGCAGCAGGUGGAGUCUGCACAGAGGACCCUGUACAGAGAUGUGAUGAUGCUGGAGAACUACAGUGGCCUUGUCUCGAUCCUAUCACCAGGAGUUUUCCCUGCUGCUGUCUGCCUUAGCAAAUCCUGUCUCACCGGAACCCACAAGAAGUCCUCCUCUUCAUGGAAACUGAUGGUAGUUGAUUAAUCUGGAAGAAGUGUGAUUAGCAGGAUUAUUCUGGAUCUGAAGUACCUUGUUAACACUACAGCAUCUGAUUGGCUUCUCUAUGGAGACCUAAACACUAAAGUUCCAUUUCAGUUUUUACUCUCUAAAUUUGUUGAGUAUACAGUAGUUUAAAGGACCGUUUCACCCCAGUUUGAUAGAUAAUUCAACUAGCAUCCAAUCAUUUGUACAACUUUGAUUUGCAAUAAUUAUGAACAGUAAUUAGAGAAACAGUUAAAAAACACCAUUGCUAAUAUAACUCUGGGAGCAUGAUAUAAGUGGGCUUUUUAAAAAAUAGGGUAUUUGAAGAUAAUAAUGGGUGCAGUCCAUGAUCAAAGAGAUCUUGUGAUAAGAGAAGUUUAUUUUCAGGUAUAAUUAAAGCUGUAGAUACCAUUUUGAAAGUACAGACUUUAGGGAGCAAGGGAAGAGAGUUUUUGAAGCAUAGUAUAAAUCAGGAAUAAUUUCAUUGAUGAUUAUGAAAUGCCAACAUCCAUUUUAUUAUGAGGAGCUGUCUCCUUUGUAGUUCCAUUGAUUCCAGGAAAGCAUUAGUAUAAGACCAAAGGCAGCUUUGCGAUGAAUGCUUUUGAAGGGUAUUAAAGAGUAGAGUGACUGGCAGUUAGCAAACAUAAAAGUGAACUAAUGAGUGAAUGUUCUGAUCACCCAUAGAAAUUGUACACUUCAAAAUAUCUUAUUGAAAAAACUAAUUUUCGUUUU